rnacentral:rRNA from 1 species
AACGAACGCUGGCGGCAGGCCUAACACAUGCAAGUCGAGCGCGCCCUUCGGGGUGAGCGGCGGACGGGUGAGUAACGCGUGGGAACGUGCCCUUUUCUACGGAAUAGCCUCGGGAAACUGAGAGUAAUACCGUAUACGCCCUUUGGGGGAAAGAUUUAUCGGAAAAGGAUCGGCCCGCGUUGGAUUAGGUGGUUGGUGGGGUAAUGGCCUACCAAGCCGACGAUCCAUAGCUGGUUUGAGAGGAUGAUCAGCCACACUGGGACUGAGACACGGCCCAGACUCCUACGGGAGGCAGCAGUGGGGAAUCUUAGACAAUGGGGGCAACCCUGAUCUAGCCAUGCCGCGUGAGUGAUGAAGGCCUUAGGGUUGUAAAGCUCUUUCAGCUGGGAAGAUAAUGACGGUACCAGCAGAAGAAGCCCCGGCUAACUCCGUG